rnacentral:rRNA from 1 species
GAUGAACGCUGGCGGCGUGCUUAACACAUGCAAGUCGAACGGUGAAGGCGGAGCUUGCUCUGCUGGAUCAGUGGCGAACGGGUGAGUAACACGUGAGCAAUCUGCCCCUGACUUUGGGAUAAGCGCUGGAAACGGCGUCUAAUACUGGAUACGAGCUGCGAAGGCAUCUUCAGCAGCUGGGAAGAUUUUCGGUCAGGGAUGAGCUCGCGGCUUAUCAGCUUGUUGGUGAGGUAAUGGCUAACCAAGGCGUCGACGGGUAGCCGGCCUGAGAGGGUGACCGGCAAAACGGGACUGAGACACGGCCCAGACUCCUACGGGAGGCAGCAGUGGGGAAUAUUGCACAAUGGGCGAAAGCCUGAUGCAGCAACGCCGCGUGAGGGACGACGGCCUUCGGGUUGUAAACCGCUUUUGGCAGGGAAGAAGCGAAAGUGACGGUACCGGCAGAAAAAGCGCCGGCUAACUACGUG